GUGAAUCAUCGAAUUUUUGAACGCAAAUUGCACUCCCCUCGGAGAGUAUGCCUGUCUGAGGGUCAGCCUAAAAAAAAUCGACAUCGUUGCUGUUCCGCGGUGACGUUCGUCGGAAAUUGGGUUAUCUUAAACCUUUUGGUUUAAGCGACUUAAAAUUUUCCUUUUGAUUCCAUGAACGUUUCUAAGAUUUAUUUCUUUACACGUUUAAGGUAUCGAUUUUUAUUAGACGUGGCCGUCAUAUCGGAUCGCGUCGGAAUUGAGCCGUCUUUCAAAUGUUAAUUCAUGUCAAAGUGGCUUAAAA
rnacentral:misc_RNA from 1 species